AGAAACUUAGGCUAAGUAAACCCUGAGCCUUCAAAGCUCCCAAUAGAAGUUAAACCCUUCUAGUUUCUG
rnacentral:tRNA from 1 species